GUCACCUCCGGAUGCCUUUGCAAAGUAUCCCCAUCAGGCAUCUGUAUGUUAAACCUAUUUUCCAUUUUAUAUGAUAAAAUCACACUAUUAUCUACUAUUAGUAAACAAAAUAAUAUAAAAUUUAUUAAAAUAAUCAAUAUGUAAACUUGUAUCACUUUAAUUAUUUAAUUUCAACUACUCAAAUGUUCCAAAUAGCAUAUCUGAC
rnacentral:lncRNA from 1 species